AAGCACCUUGUAGAGGUACCGUUCAGGUCUGUGAUUAAUCUGUAGCCACUGGGUGGCGCUUUCUGUCUAACCGACAGUACAGAACAUGUAUAUGAAGUCGGACAUACUGUAUGAUUAGGAUUGGCAAUGCUUUAGCGACGUAACAUGUAGCAUACAACCACGACCUGGUCAUUUGCUACGUCAUUGUCCAAUAGAAGGAUAAUGUUGCCCAUGACUAUGUUUUGGCUGUCAUUGAACGGCAGAGUGAGACCGGAGGAACAUAACCAGUCAGCUUUAUUCUCAAAGGGGAAACAGCAGGCAGACAUCCAAAUAAAUGGAAUGGCAUUCAGACUAGAAUAGCCGGACAAAUAGUCUAUGUCAAAGGAACUUGAUGCAGAGAGGUCUUGGGAUAGAUAGUCUUCUUUUUGGUGCCAGUCGUGGUCAGGCAGACAGUAAAAGGACACUCAAUGCGUUGACGGCAGUGCCGCUAUUGGAGCAAAAGACGUGGAUGGAUGCAGAAUUAUUUGCAAAUUUGCUGGGUUAUCUUGCUAAAUUAUAGCCUGACAUUUUAUUUAGGUGUCAUUGGUUAUAGUUAAGCUAUUUCUUAGCCAAUAAACUGUGUAUUUGGACAAAUUCCAGGAAAUCGAACAGCGCAUUGGAAGAAUGCAGUGAGGAGUUUCCAUCACUUUGCUGACAGGAUGACUGGCGUUAUUUAUGAAGACUCUGGAUGAAGAAAGAGCUCUCUGCUGUGUGUGAUAAUCAAGGCAGAAUGAUUAGGGCUUCAGGAGGGCAGCAGCCAUAUGAUUCGGUGGAAUGGAGGCUUGUGAUGUGAUGGUAAUCAUAGAGACAUCACUGGUCCCUACUGUACUGAAUACCCGCCUUCAGAUUCUUCAUUUUUUUUUUAGAUUUUGAUGUUUAGAUUUUUUUUACAUUGUAUGGCAGUAUGGUUCCACACCCUGACUGUCAUCCUAGCAUGUGUCCACAGGAUGGAAUAAUUGUCACGAUCGUCUUCGUGAGAGAGAGUGGACCAAGGUGCAGCGUGUGCAAAAUACAUCUCUUUUAUUGAGAGAGAAGAAAAAACACGAAACAAACACUGAAUACAAACUAAACAAAACAACAAACGACCGUGAAGCUAAAGACGUAAGUGCACAGACAAGCAACAAACGUUCAACAUAGACAAUUACCCACAAAACCCAAAUGCCUAUGACUGCCUUAAAUAUGGCUCCCAAUCAGAGACAAUAAACCACAGCUGUCUCUAAUUAAGAACCAAUCUAGGCAUACAUAGACAUACAAACACCUAGACAAUACAUUGCCUCAUUAAACAUACAAACCCCUAGACAAACCAAAACACAUACAUCCCCAUGUCACACCCUGACCUAUUUCUAUUAGACCUAACUAAAAUAAUAAUGAAAACAAAGAUAACUAAGGCCAGGGUGUGACAGUACCCCCCCCCAAAGGUGUGGACUCCGACCGCACAACCUGACAUUGAAGGGGAGGGUCCGGGGUGGGCCUUAAUAUGGGGGCGGCUCGGGUGCGGGACGUGGCCCCCACUCCACCAUUGUCAAUACCCGCUUUGGUGGCGCCUCUGGAGCGGCGACCCUUGUAGAAAGUCCCGGACUGAAGACCAUCCCAGAGGGUGCCACCGGACGGAUGGGUAGCUCCGGACUGAGGGGUAGCUCCGGACUGAGGGACGGCAGCUCCGGACUGAGGGACGGCAGCUCCGGACUGAGGGACGGAUCUGGCUGCUCAUGGCUGGCUGACGGAUCUGGCUGCUCAUGGCUGGCUGACGGAUCUGGCUGCUCAUGGCUGGCUGACGGAUCUGGCUGCUCAUGGCUGGCUGACGGAUCUGGCUGAUCCUGUCUGGCGGAAGGCUCUGGCUGAUCCUGUCUGGCGGAAGGCUCUGGCUGAUCCUGUCUGGCGGAAGGCUCUGGCUGAUCCUGUCUGGCGGAGGGCUCUGGCUGAUCCUGUCUGGCGGAGGGCUCUGGCUGAUCCUGUCUGGCGGAGGGCUCUGGCUGAUCCUGUCUGGCGGAGGGCUCUGGCUGAUCCUGUCUGGCGGAAGGCUUUGGCUGCUCCUGUCUGGCGGAAGGCUCUCGCGGCUCCUGUCUGUCGGACGGCUCUGAAGGCUCAUGGCAGACGGGCGGCUUUGCAGGCUCAGUACAGACGGGCGGCUUUGAAGACUCAGUACAGACGGGCAGUUCAUGCGGCGCUUGGCAGACGGACAGUUCAGACGGCGUUGGGCAGACGGGCAGUUCAGGCGCCGUUGGGCAGAAGGACAGUUCAGGCGCCGUUGGGCAGACGGCAGACUCUGGCCGGCUGAGACGCACUGUAGGCCUAGUGCGUGGUGCCGGAACUGGAGGUACCGGGCUAAAGACACGCACCUUCAGGCUAGUUCGGGGAGAAGGAACAGGGCAUGCUGGACCCUGGGGACGCACAUUAGGCCUAGUGCGUGGUGCCGGAACUGGUGGUACCGGGCUGGGGACACGCAUCUCAGGGCUAGUGCGGGGAGCAGCAACAGGACGCACAGGACUCUGGAGACGCACAGGAGGCGUGGUGCGUGGUGUAGGCACUGGUGGUAAUGGGCUGGAGACACGCACCAUAGAGCUAGUGCGUGGAGGAGGCACAGGGCUCUGAAGACGCACAGGAAGCCUGGUGCGUGGUGUAGGCACUGGUGGUACUGGGUUGGGGCGGGGAGGUGGCGCCGGAAAUACCGGACCGUGCAGGCGUACUGGCUCCCUUGAGCACUGAGCCUGCCCAACCUUACCUGGUUGUAUGCUCCCCGUCGCCCGACCAGUGCGGGGAGGUGGAAUAACCCGCACCGGGCUAUGUAGGCGAACCGGGGACACCAUGCGUAAGGCUGGUGCCAUGUAAGCCGGCCCGAGGAGACGAACUGGUGACCAGAUGCGUUGGGCCGGCUUCAUGACAUCCGGCUCAACGCUCAAUCUAGCCCGGCCGAUACGUGGAGCUGGAAUGUACCGCACCGGGCUAUGCACUCGUACAGGAGACACCAUGCGCUCUACUGCGUAACAUGGUGUCUGCCCGUACUCUCGCUCUCCACGGUAAGUAACGGGAGUAGGCGCAGGUCUCCUACCUGACUUCGCCACUCUCCCUUUAAGCCCCCCCCCCCCCCCAAGAAAUUUUGGGUUGUACUCACGGGCUUCCAGCCUUGCUUCCGUGCUGCCUCCUCAUAUCGCAUCCUCUCGGCUUUAGCUGCCUCCAGCUCUUCACGAGGGAGGCGAUAUUCUCACGGUUGUGCCCAAGGUCCCUUACCAUCCAGUAUCUCCUCCCAUGUCCAUGAAUCCUGUGUAGGUGGGUCCUGUUGCCGCUUGACACGCCGCUUGGUCCUAGAUUGGUGGGUAAUUCUGUCACGAUCGUCUUCAUGAGAGAGAGUGGACCAAGGUGCAGCGUGUGCAAAAUACAUCUCUUUUAUUGAGAGAGAAGAAAAAACACGAAACAAACACUGAAUACAAACUAAACAAAACAACAAACGACCGUGAAGCUAAAGACGGAAGUGCACAGACAAGCAACAAACGUUCAACAUAGACAAUUACCCACAAAACCCAAAUGCCUAUGACUGCCUUAAACAUGGCUCCCAAUCAGAGACAAUAAACCACAGCUGUCUCUAAUUGAGAACCAAUCUAGGGAGCCAUAGACAUACAAACACCUAGACAAGACAUUGCCCCAUUAAACAUACAAACCCCUAGACAAACCAAAACACAUACAUCCCCAUGUCACACCCUGACCUAACUAAAAUAAUAAUGAAAACAAAGAUAACUAAGGCCAGGGUGUGACAAUAAUAGACUCAGAGUCUUGUGAAGUGGUGCUCUCACUCCGGAAAAGAUAUUCUAAUAGGUUACAAUAGACACAUCGUCUGAGUAGAAUGGAUGGGAGGUGUCCAGUACAUUUAGCUGAUAUAGCUUGCUCCAGUGUGAAAGACAAACCCCCAUACAAUCAAUCAAUCAAUCAAAUGUAUUUAUUUAUAUAGCCCUUUUUACAUCAGCCGAUGUCACAAAGUGCUGUACAGAAACCCAGCCUAAAUCCCCAAACAGCAAGCAAUGCAGAUGUAGAAGCAGGCCCCUAGGAAAGGUUUUAUUGUUCAGACUGGGCAGCAGCACUCUCAGCUGGACCUAGUAGUGGACAUCCCCAAAGUAAUCACCAGUCUGGAGCUCUGCCACCUCAGACCCCACGGGGGGUCAAAUACAGGGAGAGGACUGGACAGACAGUUGCUGAGGGAUCCAGCUGACGACAAAGUCCCUCCUACAUUGGUUGGAAUAGAGGAUGGAAUGGAACUGGCCCCGCUCCAGUUAAUUACUGCAGACUGACUAUAAUACAUCACAGCUUGGCUUUUCCUGCUUCUGGUCCAGUAAUAUCAAAUCAAAUUGUAUUUGCUACAUGCGCUGAAUACAACAGGUGUAAACCUUACCGUUAACCAACAAUGCAGUUCAAUAAAUAGUUAAGAAAAUAUUUAGUAAUAAACUAAAGUAAAAAAAAAAAAAAAUGAAAACAAUAACAAUAACGAGGCUUUAUACAGGGGGGUAUCAAUGUGCAGGGUUAGGGUUAGUCGAGGUAGGGGUAAAGUGAUAAUAAACAUCGA